rnacentral:rRNA from 1 species
AUUGAACGCUGGCGGCAGGCCUAACACAUGCAAGUCGAGCGAGCGGCGGACGGGUGAGUAAUGUAUGGGGACUGCCCGAUAGAGGGGGAUAACUACUGGAAACGGUAGCUAAUACCGCAUACUAUCGGAUAACCCAUAUGGGAUUAGCUAGUAGGUGAGGUAAUGGCUCACCUAGGCGACGAUCCCUAGCUGGUCUGAGAGGAUGAUCAGCCACACCGGGAAUGAGACACGGCCCAGACUCCUGCGGAGGCAGCAGUAGGGAAUAUUGCACAAGGGGCUCAAGCCUGAUGCAGCCAUGCCGCGUGUAUCAAGAAGGCUCUAGGGUUGUAAAAUACUUUCAGUCGGAAGGCGUUACCGACAGAAGAAGCACGGGCUAACUACGUGCCAGCAGAGGCGGUAGUUC